rnacentral:rRNA from 1 species
UACGAAGGGGGCUAGCGUUGUUCGGAAUUACUGGGCGUAAAGGGCGCGUAGGCGGCGUGUCAAGUCAGGCGUGAAAGCCCCGGGCUCAACCUGGGAACCGCGCUUGAGACUGGCAUGCUCGAGUUCGGGAGAGGAUGGUGGAAUUCCCAGUGUAGCGGUGAAUGCGUAGAUAUUGGGAGGAACACCAGUGGCGAAGGCGGCUCACUGGACCGGAACUGACGCUGAGGCGCGAAAGCGUGGGGAGCAAACAGG